GGGCCGGUAGCUCAGUCGGUAGAGCAGCGGACUUUUAAUCCGCGGGUCGGGGGUUCGAUCCCCUCCCGGCUCA
rnacentral:tRNA from 1 species